UACGGAGGGUGCAAGCGUUAUCCGGAUUCACUGGGUUUAAAGGGUGCGUAGGCGGAUAUGUAAGUCCGUGGUGAAAUCUCUGGGCUUAACCCGGAAACUGCCAUGGAUACUAUGUGUCUUGAAUGUUGUUGAGGUGAGCGGAAUAUGUCAUGUAGCGGUGAAAUGCUUAGAUAUGACACAGAACACCAAUUGCGAAGGCAGCUCACUAAGCAAAUAUUGACGCUGAGGCACGAAAGCGUGGGGAUCAAACAGG
rnacentral:rRNA from 1 species